UGUUCCUUCACCUUGAACCAGGUACAUGUACAAGCCAUGGACCUCCUGAGCAUAUUGAAUAAAUGGAGGACUAAUUCAACUGCAGCAGUGAGGGGAGGCUGGUUUCACUGGCGUCUAUCUGUGAAACUCACCUAGCUGUCAAAACCAGGAUGCUGCUGUUGGAUUCAGGACCUGGAUAUCCUGAAUUUGGGCUGCUCUACUAUUGGUUGCAUCAACGCAAUUCUGCCCACAGAUAAGUAUUUAAGAAACUUAAAAUGGUGAAGUCACAUUUUUGUGGUGCCUGUUCCUUCUGCUAUCUUCUUUCAAUUGCAAAUAUGGUGGCAACAUAGAUGCAAAGUGUCAGUGCCUCUGACUGUACUGUUUUUUCUAAAGCUGUUCCUGUCUAUGUGCUUUUGAGUUUUUUGAUCAAAGAUCUACAAUUUCUAAACACACCAAACACAGCCAUGGUGCUCUAAGACAGAUGCUAUAAUCUAGGCUGAUUUUGCUGAGUGGCUGUCUCAGCCUUUUUGCUUUUCCAUUUGGAAGAUUUCUUGGCCUUAUUCAAAGCUGCUGGUGUUGCUGAUGUUGUAUGAAUGGAGAGAAAAAGAUGAUAGAAAUGAAAUUAUUCUACUUGCUACUUUCUCCCUUCCUGCUUUCUUCAUUUAGUUUUUGUGGAAUGAGAUGAGCAGAGGGGAGAUGCAGAGGAAGGAGAAAAAACACUGUUGCCUCAGCUAAGAUUCCAUUACUUCUAUCAGCUGGGACAACUGUAGCCCCAGCUGCUGGAGGUGUCAGAGAAGAUCUUUAUCUGCAAGAGUGCCUAAAUGUAAGACUCAUAUCAGGAUCUUCACACAGUUUGAGCCGUUAAAUUCUUGUGCUGUGGAAAACCAAGAGAUGAGAAGAACUGAAAAAAAUAAGAGACAGGGUUCCUGUGGAUCUGUGCCACUUCCUUGGAGGAGGCUCCAGUCAUCCUGGUACACACUCUAGAGGUGGCCACUCCAAGCAUCUCCUUGGUGUCCCACAGCUCAGAACUGUUUUUUGAUCUCUGCUUGUCCACUGCAGUGACAACGAGCCAGAAGAUUACAUUCACGUCAUAUCCUUCAGGGAAACACAAACUGCCCAAAAUCUGCCUAAAAUAUACCAUGACAUCACUCGCGGACCUCCCAGAAUCACCCAGAAGGAGGAAAAGUCAGCUUUCCCAGCCCGCCCCCAGUGUGAUUCCAGGGGAUUCAGACCCUAUAAGGCAGUGAAGCUCUGUGAGCAGCAAGGAUAAAGUUUCAAAAGAUUUCUUGUUCUUCACGACGUGGGGAUUUCACAAACAGGAAAAACUGCUUUUACUUUUCCUAAAGAGGAACUGUUUAUGCCUCAUGAUGCAUUGAUGCCUGGAACUGGGCUUGCUUUAAAGUAGAGCGGAAAUGUAAGAAAUGCUCUUAGCAUAGGACAAGCAGAGGUAAGCUCUCCCCCAGUCAUGCCAGCUGUUCGUUCCAGACAUCCACUUUUUAUAGUACUCGCUUCUAGUUCCACUCUAUGAACAGGGUAAUUAAGUAAAAAAGCUGUAGUAUCUACACAGAUACCACAUAUAGAUAUACUGUAUAUAUAGAUAUACUGUAUAUCUACAUAUGUAUACUAUAUAUGCACCUAUAUACUAUACAUACUGUAUAUAUACAUAUAGAGCGGUCCAAUAUGGAAUUAAAUUGGUCAUUCUGGAAGGUGCAGCUAGUCCCAAAUGUAGCACAGACUGCCAGUGAAACGUUCUUCCUCCUUUCCUGUGUGCUACAUCAGAAGACAUUUGUCUGGAAAAUGAAGAGCCGAGCUAUUCUGAGCCCGGAUACAUGAACUGUCCUGGAAUUUGACUCAAUCAGUCAGAUUUGUGUCUCAGUUACAGUUAAUCCUGAUUCACUGUUCUCAGUCUGUACCAUAGCUUUUCUGAGAGGGAUAAAAGUUGGCCGAAUCCACACCACACCCUUCAGCCACAGUUUGUGACCAGCCAUUCAGGCAGUCCACGGUUGGAUAGCUGCGAUUUUUUUUCUUCAUAACCAGAGUAACCAACUUCAGAAGUAUGGUAUGGUAACUGUAAUCAUUCAGACUCAUUACCAUCCGCCUGCCAAAUGCUUUGCAAACAUGAAUACAGGGCAACAUUUUGUUCCCAAAAUGGGAGAAAUUACUAUUUUCACUUGAUAUGUAAACAAACUGAGGCACUGAUAUUGAAUGAAAUACUACCUUUUAAAAUAGAACUUAUUUUCUUCAUGUGAUUUUAUACUAAUCCUAUACACCUAAACUUUGUCAGCAAAUUAGAUUUGUUUUGCCACAAAGUAGAUUUUAAAAUUCUGAAGUUAGUCAAGUGGAAAAUGAUAAAAAUCAAUCCAGUGAAUAAAACGUGCUUGGGGUUUGACAUCAAAAUAAACAGAAUGGUCUUGCAGUUUACUGGGCAAAUGUAACAGCCGCGUGUAAGUUUUGCUGUUAUUACUCUGCCUUGGAUUUACAAAAUCCAAUACAAAAUUACAUUUUGUAAUGUAAUUGAAAUACAAAAGGGAGUUGUCCCACUUCUGCUAUUUUUGGGUAGGAGAACCAAGGCAUUCAGUUCUUUGACAUGCUGAGUUCCUUUCAAAGCUAUUUAUAUAAGAUGAUUAUCAUUCAUUAAGUAGUUUACUCUUCAUUGCCAGUGCCGCCCAUUUGCAGUGCUGGGAAUUUAAGUUUAUGCACAACUAUGACAGAACCCUGCAUCCACUGGAAUCGAGAUCUAGGAACCUUGAAGUAAGGUACCAGGGAAGCAAAUUACUCAGAUACCAUUGGGAUAGUUGUGAAGUAUUGAGGCCCUGAAUUAAUUUCUAUUAUUCUGUAUCUCAUCUGAGGGCUGAGGUUCAUGCAAGAAAAAGAUCAUGCCAUGUCAGUGUGUUCUCUCUUCCCAUGGCACAGGAAUGACUUGCUUACACACUGCUGCUCUUCACUUUGUGUAUUCACUGCAAUCUACUUCUGUUCUCUGUGGAGAAAUGGGUUUGCUUAGUUUUUCUCAAUCCUUUUCAUCCAAGUAUUGAAGAAUCCUUUAUCCUUCCCUGCUGUGCUGCCGCAUCUUUUUUUCUGUCAAAAGCAAAGUAGCAUUUUGGCUCAAAUGUGAAUCUUCAUUUAUUACUUGUAUUUUGUCUGCUCUUUUGUGAAGCAAUUUGUGCAUAUCUAAGGUUCGGCAGCCCAGCGGGUGUCCACAAAACAGAUGAGUUAAUGCUAGCUGAAAUUUUGAGGCCCAUUGUAAUCCUGUUUUCCCUUCCCACGAUUGUACAAGAGGAAACAAGAAAGCUUCCUGCAGGUAUGGAGGUGAAAGGAGGUUAUUUACUACUGUAAUACACAACUCUUCCAUGCAUCAGCAAUCAAAGCAGGCAACUUUGUAAAUCUCAUCUGGGUACACGGCUAAUCCUCUGUUGUUUUCUUCCAGUAUACUUAUGCUGGUAUUGUCAGCAGCUCUCCUUGUGGAAUAAUAAUCUACAGCAAAUACGAACUGCUAUAGCAGAGGAUGUUGGAAUAGGUGAUCUCUUAAGGUCCCUUCCAACCCCUGUGGUUCUGUGAAUGCCGGUGGACAAAGAAAAGGCUAAUAGGUUGUGGUUGCUGCUUUCCUUAUUGUUGAUUUUUUUUUUUCUUAAACAAAAAAGGAAAAAAAUGGCUCUGCUGUGCACUUUUAACCUUGCUGGUGUGAAUCCUUGAGGAAAUGUGCAGCAUGGGUGUGAGAUGAGGGAAACCCUAUCAUUACAGCUGCCAAAUGCAAAACAAGGCCUAUGAAGUUUCCUAGUUCUCUGUGUAUCGACUCAAGCAGAAGGCAGAAAGACUUCACAGUGAAGGAGGAUCAACACAACAUGCUACUGCUGUGUCAUCACUCAACUCCUAGAGAACACAAUGGAAAACUUCUGAUUAAUGACUUGGAGAGUUGGAGGUAAAUUACUCUCUUUUUUCUUUUUUGCUGCUUUUAUGAAAUGCAAAAAUCUUAACCAAAAGUGCCUUUUUAUCCCUGUAAUGCUGCUACACAUUUCCUACUGAGAUGAAAAAGCCAACAAGUAAAUGACAAAAUGAUUAAGAAGCCAAACCUCGUGGCUUAUGAAACAUAUAAUAGUCAGAGUACGACUUAGAGUACUAAAAUAUGAUCAGUAUUGUGGACCAGUCCUUCAGUGAGAAUAUCCAAUACAGUGUAAAGUUAAGAACUAAAGUUUCUUUCACAGGAACGUUGGUUUAAACACUUUCAGAGAUACGGAGCCAAGUCUUCUAUUAUUUUAACACUGACGUUCAUUGUAGUGAAAUAAAGAAAUAUUGCCAAUGUUAAUGAUUUAGCUUUGAGUUUUUAAUAUCCACA